rnacentral:rRNA from 1 species
UACGUAGGGGGCAAGCGUUGUCCGGAAUCAUUGGGCGUAAAGAGCGUGUAGGCGGCUCGAUAAGUCUGCUGUGAAAGUCCAGGGCUCAACCCUGGAAGGCCGGUGGAAACUGUCGGGCUAGAGUUCGGAAGAGGCGAGUGGAAUUCCCGGUGUAGCGGUGAAAUGCGCAGAUAUCGGGAGGAACACCAGUAGCGAAGGCGGCACUCUGGGCCGGAACUGACGCUGAGGAGCGAAAGCGUGGGUAGCAAACAGG